AAGAUGUUGGCUGGUUUUCAAGAAAGCUUCUAGUAAAGGGCCUAGAAGGUUAGAAAAAUUUCCAGAUGAGAAGGCAGCAUAUUUCAGAAAUUUUCACAAGGUAACAGAGUUACACAACAUCAAAAAUAUAACCAGACUGCCUCGAGAAACCAAGAAGCAUGCCGUAGCAAUUAUCUUUCAUGAUAAGACGUCAAAGACAUUUGCCUGUGAGUCAGAGCUUGAGGCAGAAGAGUGGUGCAAACAUCUUUGCAUAGAAUGUCUUGGAACUAGACUUAAUGAUAUAAGUCUUGGUGAGCCUGAUCUACUGGCUGCUGGAGUUCAA